rnacentral:rRNA from 1 species
UACGAAGGGGGCUAGCGUUGCUCGGAAUUACUGGGCGUAAAGCGCACGUAGGCGGCUUUCUAAGUCGGGGUGAAAUCCUGGAGCUCAACUCCAGAACUGCCUUUGAUACUGAGAGCUUGAGUCCGGGAGAGGUGAGUGGAACUGCGAGUGUAGAGGUGAAAUUCGUAGAUAUUCGCAAGAACACCAGUGGCGAAGGCGGCUCACUGGCCCGGUACUGACGCUGAGGUGCGAAAGCGUGGGAGCAACAGG